rnacentral:rRNA from 1 species
CCCCAUGUCUUUUGCGCACUUGUUGUUUCCUGGGCGGGUUCGCCCGCCACCAGGACCAAACCAUAAACCUUUUUUUUAUGCAGUUGCAAUCAGCGUCAGUAAAAACAAUGUAAUUAUUACAACUUUCAACAACGGAUCUCUUGGUUCUGGCAUCGAUGAAGAACGCAGCGAAAUGCGAUACGUAGUGUGAAUUGCAGAAUUCAGUGAAUCAUCGAAUCUUUGAACGCACAUUGCGCCCUUUGGUAUUCCAAAGGGCAUGCCUGUUCGAGCGUCAUUUGUACCUUCAAGCUUUGCUUGGUGUUGGGCGUUUUUUGUCUCCCUCUUUCUGGGAGACUCGCCUUAAAACGAUUGGCAGCCGGCCUACUGGUUUCGGAGCGCAGCACAUAUUUUGCGCUUUGUAUCAGGAGAAAAGGACGGUAAUCCAUCAAGACUCUACAUUUUUAACUUUUGACCUCGGAUCAGGUA